rnacentral:lncRNA from 1 species
CUGCCCGCUAGACAUGUACACCUUACAAUCAUUCCAUACAACAAAUAUAGUAGACCUAUUGCAUAUAGUAUGAAAAAAACAGACCAAAACACAAAACUAACUAUAACCACUGAACCAUGAAAAUGAGGUCAAGGUCAGAUGACACCUGCCAGUUGGACAUGUACACCUUACAGUCCUUCCAUACACCAAAUAUACUAGCCCUAUUGCUUAUAGUAUCUGAGAUAUGGACUUGACCACCAAAACUUAACCUUGUUCACUGAUCCAUGAAAUGAGGUCGAGGUCAAGUGAAAACUGUCUGACAGACAUGAGGACCUUGCAAGGUACGCACAUAUCAAAUAUAGUUAUCCUAUUACUUAUAAUAAGAGAGAAUUCAACAUCACAAAAAAUCUGAACUUUUUUUCAAGUGGUCACUGAACCAUGAAAAUGAGGUCAAGGACAUUGGACAUGUGACUGACGGAAACUUCGUAACAUGAGGCAUUUAUAUACAAAGUAU